GAUGAACGCUGGCGGCGUGCUUAACACAUGCAAGUCGAACGAUGAAGCCGGAGCUUGCUCUGGUGAAUUAGUGGCGAACGGGUGAGUAACACGUGAGUAACCUGCCCUUGACUCUGGGAUAACUGCGGGAAACUGUAGCUAAUACCGGAUACGACCCUCGGAGGCAUCUCCUGGAGGUGGAAAGAAUUUCGGUCAAGGAUGGACUCGCGGCCUAUCAGCUAGUUGGGGAGGUAACGGCUCACCAAGGCGACGACGGGUAGCCGGCCUGAGAGGGUGACCGGCCACACUGGGACUGAGACAUGGCCCAGACUCCUACGGGAGGCAGCAGUGGGGAAUAUUGCACAAUGGGCGCAAGCCUGAUGCAGCAACGCCGCGUGAGGGAUGACGGCCUUCGGGUUGUAAACCUCUUUUAGUAGGGAAGAAGCGAAAGUGACGGUACCUGCAGAAAAAGCACCGGCUAACUACGUGCCAGCCGCCGCGGUAA
rnacentral:rRNA from 1 species